GACGGAGGGGGCUAGCGUUGUUCGGAAUGACUGGGCGUAAAGGGCGCGUAGGCGGUUUUGUAAGUGAGGCGUGAAAGCCCUGGGCUUAACCCAGGAGGUGCGUUUCAUACUGGAAGACUUGAGUGCGAGAGAGGAAAGUGGAAUUCCUAGUGUAGAGGUGAAAUUCGUAGAUAUUAGGAAGAACACCAGUGGCGAAGGCGGCUUUCUGGCUCGCAACUGACGCUGAGGCGCGAAAGCGUGGGGAGCAAACAGG
rnacentral:rRNA from 1 species